CUCUGGUUCCUUAGUCCAACGGAUCUGACGCACUGAAGGCUGGACAUUGGCAGAUAUCAUCUAUGAUGAAAAAGCCUCCCUUGCGAGACGAGAAUCUUCACCAUCUGAAUCAUGAGUGCCGGUGCCCGUCGUCAGUCCCUUCUCUCUCCGUUACUGGACCUGGAUCUGGAUCUGGAUCUGGACACUCAUUACCAGCUUGUGCAUCUCACUGCUGAUAUCAUGAUGCUACUUAACUAUCUUCGCAGCACCCGCUCUAGGAAUGGAGAUCCAGGGUUCCCCCCUCUUCUUCGAUACAGAAUCUGCCUACAGCAUCUACAGCAAUCUACAGCAAAUAUGCUGUCCGAAAGAACCCGUUAACAUCAAGGGCAACAAGUGCUGAGAUUGUGACGCUGAUGAAAAGGUGGCUGCAGCUG